rnacentral:rRNA from 1 species
UACGUAGGGGGCUAGCGUUGUCCGGAAUCAUUGGGCGUAAGCGUGCGCAGGCGGUGAUGUAAGACCGAUGUGAAAUCCCCGGGCUUAACCUGGGAACUGCAUUGGUGACUGCAUCGCUCGAGUAUGGCAGAGGGGGGUAGAAUUCCACGUGUAGCAGUGAAAUGCGUAGAGAUGUGGAGGAAUACCGAUGGCGAAGGCAGCCCCCUGGGUCAAUACUGACGCUCAUGCACGAAAGCGUGGGGAGCAAACAGG